rnacentral:rRNA from 1 species
AAAUUGAAGAGUUUGAUCAUGGCUCAGAUUGAACGCUGGCGGCAGGCCUAACACAUGCAAGUCGAACGGUAACAGGAAACAGCUUGCUGUUUCGCUGACGAGUGGCGGACGGGUGAGUAAUGUCUGGGAAACUGCCUGAUGGAGGGGGAUAACUACUGGAAACGGUAGCUAAUACCGCAUAAUGUCGCAAGACUAAAGAGGGGGACCUUCGGGCCUCUUGCCAUCGGAUGUGCCCAGAUGGGAUUAGCUAGUAGGUGGGGUAACGGCUCACCUAGGCGACGAUCCCUAGCUGGUCUGAGAGGAUGACCAGCCACACUGGAACUGAGACACGGUCCAGACUCCUACGGGAGGCAGCAGUGGGGAAUAUUGCACAAUGGGCGCAAGCCUGAUGCAGCCAUGCCGC